rnacentral:pre_miRNA from 1 species
UUGAAGAAUUUGAAGACCUCAACUUGCAAAUUUGAUUGAUUUGAAGACUUCAAUUUGCAGAGUUGAAGAAUUUGAAGACUUCAACU